rnacentral:rRNA from 1 species
CGUGUAGGCGGUCCUUCAAGUUUGGUGUGAAAUCUCCCGGCUCAACCGGGAGGGUGCGCCGAAAACUAGAGGGCUAGAGUGCGGGAGGGGAGAGUGGAAUUCCUGGUGUAGCGGUGAAAUGCGUAGAUAUCAGGAGGAACACCGGUGGUGUAGACGGCUCUCUGGACCGUAACUGACGCUGAGACACGAAAGCGUGGGUAGCAAACAGGAUUAGAUACCCUGGUAGUCCACGCCCUAAACGAUGCAUAGUUUGGUGUAGGUCAUUCAGUUGAUCUGUGCCGGAGCUAACGCGUUAAAUAUGCCGCCUGGGGAGUACAGUCGCAAGGCUGAA